GAUGAACGCUGGCGGCGUGCCUAAUACAUGCAAGUCGAACGCACAGCGAAAGGUGCUUGCACCUUUCAAGUGAGUGGCGAACGGGUGAGUAACACGUGGACAACCUGCCUCAAGGCUGGGGAUAACAUUUGGAAACAGAUGCUAAUACCGAAUAAAACUUAGUGUCGCAUGACACAAAGUUAAAAGGCGCUUCGGCGUCACCUAGAGAUGGAUCCGCGGUGCAUUAGUUAGUUGGUGGGGUAAAGGCCUACCAAGACAAUGAUGCAUAGCCGAGUUGAGAGACUGAUCGGCCACAUUGGGACUGAGACACGGCCCAAACUCCUACGGGAGGCUGCAGUAGGGAAUCUUCCACAAUGGGCGAAAGCCUGAUGGAGCAACGCCGCGUGUGUGAUGAAGGCUUUCGGGUCGUAAAGCACUGUUGUAUGGGAAGAACAGCUAGAAUAGGAAAUGAUUUUAGUUUGACGGUACCAUACCAGAAAGGGACGGCUAAAUACGUGCCAGCAGCCGCGGUAAUACGUAUGUCCCGAGCGUUAUCCGGAUUUAUUGGGCGUAAAGCGAGCGCAGACGGUUUAUUAAGUCUGAUGUGAAAGCCCGGAGCUCAACUCCGGAAUGGCAUUGGAAACUGGUUAACUUGAGUGCAGUAGAGGUAAGUGGAACUCCAUGUGUAGCGGUGGAAUGCGUGGAUAUAUGGAAGAACACCAGUGGCGAAGGCGGCUUACUGGACUGCAACUGACGUUGAGGCUCGAAAGUGUGGGUAGCAAACAGGAUUAGAUACCCUGGUAGUCCACACCGUAAACGAUGAACACUAGGUGUUAGGAGGUUUCCGCCUCUUAGUGCCGAAGCUAACGCAUUAAGUGUUCCGCCUGGGGAGUACGACCGCAAGGUUGAAACUCAAAGGAAUUGACGGGGACCCGCACAAGCGGUGGAGCAUGUGGUUUAAUUCGAAGCAACGCGAAGAACCUUACCAGGUCUUGACAUCCUUUGAAGCUUUUAGAGAUAGAAGUGUUCUCUUCGGAGACAAAGUGACAGGUGGUGCAUGGUCGUCGUCAGCUCGUGUCGUGAGAUGUUGGGUUAAGUCCCGCAACGAGCGCAACCCUUAUUGUUAGUUGCCAGCAUUCAGAUGGGCACUCUAGCGAGACUGCCGGUGACAAACCGGAGGAAGGCGGGGACGACGUCAGAUCAUCAUGCCCCUUAUGACCUGGGCUACACACGUGCUACAAUGGCGUAUACAACGAGUUGCCAACCCGCGAGGGUGAGCUAAUCUCUUAAAGUACGUCUCAGUUCGGAUUGUAGUCUGCAACUCGACUACAUGAAGUCGGAAUCGCUAGUAAUCGCGGAUCAGCACGCCGCGGUGAAUACGUUCCCGGGUCUUGUACACACCGCCCGUCACACCAUGGGAGUUUGUAAUGCCCAAAGCCGGUGGCCUAACCUUUUAGGAAGGAGCCGUCUAAGGCAGGACAGAUGACUGGGGUG
rnacentral:rRNA from 1 species